rnacentral:rRNA from 1 species
UACGUAGGGUGCAAGCGUUGUCCGGAAUUAUUGGGCGUAAAGAGCUCGUAGGCGGUCUGUCGCGUCUGCUGUGAAAACUCGGGGCUUAACCCCGGGCCUGCAGUGGGUACGGGCAGACUAGAGUGCGGUAGGGGAGACUGGAAUUCCUGGUGUAGCGGUGAAAUGCGCAGAUAUCAGGAGGAACACCGGCGGCGAAGGCGGGUCUCUGGGCCGUAACUGACGCUGAGGAGCGAAAGCAUGGGGAGCGAACAGG